rnacentral:rRNA from 1 species
GUGACCUGCGGANGGAUCAUUA